rnacentral:rRNA from 1 species
AUUGAACGCUGGCGGCAGGCCUAACACAUGCAAGUCGAACGGUAGCACAGAGAGCUUGCUCUCGGGUGACGGGUGGCGGACGGGUGAGUAAUGUCUGGGAAACUGCCCGAUGGAGGGGGAUAACUACUGGAAACGGUAGCUAAUACCGCAUAACGGCGCAAGACCAAAGUGGGGGACCUUCGGGCCUCACACCAUCGGAUGCGCCCAGAUGGGAUUAGCUAGUAGGUGGGGUAAUGGCUCACCUAGGCGACGAUCCCUAGCUGGUCUGAGAGGAUGACCAGCCACACUGGAACUGAGACACGGUCCAGACUCCUACGGGAGGCAGCAGUGGGGAAUAUUGCACAAUGGGCGCAAGCCUGAUGCAGCCAUGCCGCGUGUAUGAAGAAGGCCUUCGGGUUGUAAAGUACUUUCAGCGGGGAGGAAGGCGGUGAAGUUAAUAACUUCACCGAUUGACGUUACCCGCAGAAGAAGCACCGGCUAACUCCGUGCCAGCCGCCGCCGUAA